rnacentral:rRNA from 1 species
AUUGAACGCUGGCGGCAGGCCUAACACAUGCAAGUCGAACGGUAGCACAGAGAGCUUGCUCUCGGGUGACGAGUGGCGGACGGGUGAGUAAUGUCUGGGAAACUGCCCGAUGGAGGGGGGUAACUACUGGAAACGGUAGCUAAUACCGCAUAACGUCGCAAGACCAAAGAGGGGGGAACCCUUCGGGCCGUCUUGCCAUCGGAUGUGCCCAGAUGGGAUUAGCUUGUAGGUGAGG